GCGUCUUGCUGGCGCCUAAGUCUCCUUGACUGGGGUCCGAUGGCCCAGAGUGGGUGUCAGGCCUUUAAGGCGUUGGCUGGCCGUGCAAUGGUUGCUCGAAGAGUCGGGUUGUUUCUGAGUACAACCCAAAGUAGGUGGUAAACUCCAUCUAAGGCUAAAUACGAGUACGAGUCCGAUAGCGAACAAGUACCGUGAGGGAAAGUUGCAAAGAACUUUGAAGAGAGAGUUCAAGAGUACGUGAAACCGCCCGGAGUGAAGCUGGUGAAGCCACAAGUUCGCUUGUCGGAAUCAGUCGUCUGGCAGGAGCGCAUGGUUGGCUGUUGCAUGUGCUGAAAGGUGCAUGGACAGUCGAUCGUGUGUUGUGAGAUUCCUGUCGGGCGAUGUAUGUCUGACGAGCGAUGUGUCACGAGGAUUUGCUAGGCGUCUAGACGUGGCUCGAGCAGGUAACACUUGCGGUCUAGUUUGUGGAUCGUCUGGUGUGAUGGCUUGGGUCAUUAUAGCAUGUCUGGCGAAUCAGGACAGCUUGUUCUUAGCUGCAGCAAUCCGUGCCACUGUGGGGGCGCGUAGGUUGUCAGUGCGUGUCAUCUGUGCUCGGGACUGCUUUGCAGUGUCGGUCUAAGUUGAUGCGCAUGAUGGCAAUUUCGCUGCAAGUGAAUUGCUUCGAAUUGCUGUUCCGUGGCCCGUUGGUCACUCACCAGUCCCGUCUUGAAACACGGACCAAGGAGUUCAGCAUGCAGGCGAGUCUGAGGGUGAAGUAAAACCCGAAGGCGCAGUGAAAGCAAAGGUUGCCCUCGUGGCAGCUGAGAUGUGAUCCGGCUUCUUGAACGGAGUCGGCGCAACAUCGUCUCGUCGUGUCCCCGUGUGGGUGCGGCGAAGAUUGAGCCUGCACGCUGCGACCCGAAAGAUGGUGAACUAUGCCAGAGGAGGACGAAGCCAGAGGAAACUCUGGUGGAGGUCCGAAUCGAUUCUAACGUGCAAAUUGAUCGUCAGACUUUGGUAUAGCGGCGAAAGACUAAUCGAACCAUCUAGUAGCUGGUUCCCUCCGAAGUUUCUCUCAGGAUAGCUGGCACUCGCUUUGGAUUUUCACCCGGUAAAGCGAAUGAUUAGAGUGAUUUGGGUGUUAAAUUGCCUAAACCU
rnacentral:rRNA from 1 species